UACGUAGGGGGCUAGCGUUGUCCGGAAUCAUUGGGCGUAAAGCGCACGUAGGCGGCGCGUUAAGUCGGGUGUGAAAGCCCUGGGCUCAACCCAGGAAGUGCAUUCGAAACUGGCGCGCUUGAAUAUGGAGGAGGGUCGCGGAAUUCCCGGUGUAGAGGUGAAAUUCGUAGAUAUCAGGAAGAACACCCGUGGCGAAGGCGGCUCUCUGGGACGGUACUGACGCUGAGACGCGAAAGCGUGGGGAGCGAACAGG
rnacentral:rRNA from 1 species